rnacentral:rRNA from 1 species
AUUGAACGCUGGCGGCAUGCCUUACACAUGCAAGUCGAACGGUAACAGGUCUUUCGGGAUGCUGACGAGUGGCGAACGGGUGAGUAAUACAUCGGAACGUGCCUAGUAGUGGGGGAUAACUACUCGAAAGAGUGGCUUAUACCGCAUGAGAUCUAUGGAUGAAAGCAGGGGACCUUUGGGCCUUGUGCUACUAGAGCGGCCGAUGGCAGAUUAGGUAGUUGGUGGGAUAAAAGCUUACCAAGCCUACGAUCUGUAGCUGGUCUGAGAGGACGAUCAGCCACACUGGGACUGAGACACGGCCCAGACUCCUACGGGAGGCAGCAGUGGGGAAUUUUGGACAAUGGGCGCAAGCCUGAUCCAGCAAUGCCGCGUGCAGGAUGAAGGCCUUCGGGUUGUAAACUGCUUUUGUACGGAACGAAAAGUCUUGGGUUAAUACCCUGGGAUCAUGACGGUACCGUAAGAAUAAGCACCGGCUAACUACGUG